rnacentral:miRNA from 1 species
AUAGCUCUUUAAAUGGUUCUGC